rnacentral:rRNA from 1 species
UAACACGUAGGGGGCAAGCGUUGUCCGGAUUCAUUGGGCGUAAAGAGCUCGUAGGCGGCUCGGCAAGUCGGGUGUGAAACCUCCAGGCUCAACCUGGAGACGCCACUCGAUACUGCUGUGGCUAGAGUCCAGUAGGGGAGCGUGGAAUUCCUGGUGUAGCGGUGAAAUGCGCAGAUAUCAGGAGGAACACCAGCGGCGAAGGCGGCGCUCUGGGCUGGAACUGACGCUGAGGAGCGAAAGCGUGGGGAGCAAACAGGAUUAGAUACCCUGGUAGUCCACGCCGUAAACGUUGGGCACUAGGUGUGGGUCGUUAUCAACGCGAUCUGUGCCGUCGCUAACGCAUUAAGUGCCCCGCCUGGGGAGUACGGCCGCAAGGCUA